CUCAUUUCUAGGGGAAGAAGCAUAGGAAUAAGAAUCAAAAGAUUCACAUUCUAAUCUUGGCCCAGCCUCCAAACAGCAGUGUGACGUGGUCCAAGAAGUGGCGCUGCCCUAAACACUCAUUACAUCUUCACAGCAUGAACAGGAACCUGAUGAAAUGCCUGGUCUAACAGGAGGAUGCAGAGAAAGUUAUGAAGAGAGGAUCCUGAGGAAUUUGCUCCUGGGCCAUGAAGAUGGGAAGCUGAGUCAGAGUGCAGUUCUUCACCCAAUCCCACAGCCACACGUGCCUGCUUGCUCACGGGAUCUUCCCACUCUCCUCGGGAAGGCUUCCGAGCUGCUUCCUCAGGAUGUCCUGUGAUAGCAGCCUGACCUGUCAAAGCCAUGCGAAUACCAUCUGUUCAGUUAUAUAACUUGAGAUCUGGGAAGAAUUCUCAACGUAGGAUUUGCUGCCCAAAUCAAAUCAUUUUCAGAAAGGAGAUUAAGCAUUCUUUGCUGGGAAAAGGAGAAAUUACCAGAAAAAAUUAUCAUUUCACUGAGUAUAAACAAACCUUUGUCCAAAAUACACAAAUGAAAAUGACAA
ensembl:lncRNA LINC03033 long intergenic non-protein coding RNA 3033